rnacentral:rRNA from 1 species
CAUAAUCAAAAGGGAAAAAGCCCAGAUUAAAUUAAGGUUUUUAAAUUAUAAUUUAUGGUUGAAGCUUAAAAUAUAUAAAGACAACCAAGAGGUAGGCUUAGAAGCAGCCAUCCUUUAAAGAAAGCGUUCAUGCUCAAUGGUCGAGUAUUUAUUUAGGCAGAAAUUUGUGAAGCUUUAGUUAUAUACCGAAAUUAAAAAAUUGAUAAAAUUGGUAGUAGAACGAAUAAUAUUAAUUUAUGAGAAAAAUUGUUAAAUUUUUUAUUAAAUUUAUUUUGAGAAUGUUGACAUGAGUAACGAAUAAAUAAUGAGUUAAUUUUUAUUAUCAUUAUCACCGUAAAAUCUAAAAGGUUUCAACGUUAAGUUAUACUUCGUUGAGUUAAUCGGUCUCUAAAAUUUUUUA